rnacentral:rRNA from 1 species
UCCGGUUGAUCCUGCCGGACCCGACCGCUAUCGGGGUGGGGCUAACCCAUGGAAGUCUAGGAGCCGGGGCUACGGCCGGCUCCGGCGGACGGCUCAGUAGCACGUGGCUAACCUACCCUCGGGAGGGGGAUAACCCCGGGAAACUGGGGAUAAACCCCCAUAGGCGCGGACACCUGGAAUGGGUCCGCGCUGAAAGGGCCACGGUACCAUGCUUACCGUGGCCGCCCGAGGAUGGGGCUGCGCCCUAUCAGGUAGUUGGCGGGGUAACGGCCCGCCAAGCCGAUAACGGGUGGGGGCCGUGAGAGCGGGAGCCCCGAGAUGGGCACUGAGACAAGGGCCCAGGCCCUACGGGGUGCACCAGGGGCGAAACUUCCGCAAUGCGGGAAACCGUGACGGAGUCACCCCGAGUGCCACCCGAAGAGGGUGGCUUUUGCCCGGUCUAAAAAGCCGGGCGAAUAAGCGGGGGGCAAGCUUGGUGUCAGCCGCCGCGGUAAUACCAACCCCGCGAGUGGUCGGGACGUUUAUUGGGCCUAAAGCGUCCGUAGCCGGCCCGGUAAGUCCCUCCUUAAAGCCCACGGCUCAACCGUGGGAGCGGAGGGAUACUGCCGGGCUAGGGGGCGGGAGAGGCCGGGGGUACUCCUGGGGUAGGGGCGAAAUCCUAUAAUCCCAGGAGGACCACCAGUGGCGAAGGCGCCCGGCUAGCACGCGCCCGACGGUGAGGGACGAAAGCUGGGGGAG